AACGAACGCUGGCGGCAGGCUUAACACAUGCAAGUCGAGCGCGUAGCAAUACGAGCGGCAGACGGGUGAGUAACGCGUGGGAAUCUACCGUACCCUACGGAAUAGCUCUGGGAAACUGGAGGUAAUACCGUAUACGCCCUAACGGGGAAAGAUUUAUCGGGGUAUGAUGAGCCCGCGUUGGAUUAGCUAGUUGGUGGGGUAAAGGCCUACCAAGGCGACGAUCCAUAGCUGGUCUGAGAGGAUGAUCAGCCACAUUGGGACUGAGACACGGCCCAAACUCCUACGGGAGGCAGCAGUGGGGAAUAUUGGACAAUGGGCGCAAGCCUGAUCCAGCCAUGCCGCGUGAGUGAUGAAGGUCUUAGGAUUGUAAAGCUCUUUCACCGAUGAAGAUAAUGACGGUAGUCGGAGAAGAAGCCCCGGCUAACUUCGUGCCAGCAGCCGCGGUAAGAC
rnacentral:rRNA from 1 species